UUAACUAAACAAAUUAAAAAACCUCUCCUCUUUUAUACUUUUGUAUUUUUUUUUUCUUGACAAAUAUAGAAAUUCUAAAAACAACAAAAAAAAAACAAAUUUUAGAUAUUGUCAAAAAUAAAUAUUUAUAGAAGAAAUUAUACAUAAUACUAUUUCUUUUGGAAAUUAUAUUAUUUAUACAUUGCUUUUAUACGGUGCUUUUUAUUUUUUUUUAUUUAUAUUGUAUAUGUACUUUUUUUUACUUUCUUCUUUUCUUUUCUACAGUUUCCAAAUUCUUGUAACUCCAAUAUGCACCUCCAUUCUCAAUCAAAGUGAAUGAUUUCUCUAUAGUUUCCAUAAUAACAAACGUUUUCUACGACUCUCUUUCUCUCCAUUUUUGCACAAGAAAAUCAUUAACACCUCUGCAUAGUAAUCGAUGCCAUGUCACAGAAAUUCAAAGAUCAAACCCCUGUCGACAUUAAUCAAUUACUUUGGCGUUGCUUGCUCCUCCCUCGACCACUUCGCUUCUGAUAACAAUGACCAUCUUCUCUUGCACGUCAUGGAUUCUCUCAUCACCAUUAUCUUUGUUUCCCU
rnacentral:lncRNA from 1 species